ACGAACCGAGCGAACGUUGUUCGGAAUCACUGGGCUUAAAGGGCGCGUAGGCGGGCUGCCGCGUCCGGGGUGAAAUCCCACGGCUCAACCGUGGAACGGCCCCGGGUACGGGCGGCCUCGAGGAAGGUAGGGGCGUGCGGAACUGUGGGUGGAGCGGUGAAAUGCGUUGAGAUCCACAGGAACUCCGGUGGCGAAGGCGGCACGCUGGACCUUUUCUGACGCUGAGGCGCGAAAGCCAGGGGAGCGAACGGGA
rnacentral:rRNA from 1 species